GGCCGCUAUGAACAUCAGGAAGGGAUCUCUUCUAGGCCACUAUGGACAUCAGGAAGGGAUCUCUUCUAGGCCGCUAUGGACAUCAGGAACCAUAUCAGCUAAAAAGCCCGUUGCAGCAGCUGACAGCUGUUUUUGAUCUAGAACCCCCUGAAAUAGCACCCUGCGGUUCUUCCUGCAUCCUAUCACAGCAAAAUUGGUAGUGUUGAUUUCCCAGUGUCAAAUAUUUUGAGUUGAUCCGUGUUGAUUGUGGUGUUCUUUUAGCACUUACAGUGUUAAAACAGCUCUGGGGGCGGAGUUAUUGCGGCGAGUUAAGUGAUGCUCUCCUGACCGAGUUACUUGCACAUCCGGUUUCAACGCGCUCUUUCUUCUUGAAGUCACGGUGAAGAAAACCCGUGGUCAGGAAGAUAUUUAGCUGUUAUUUCAGAAGGUAAGUACACAUUAUAUUUACUUCUACAGGCUGUUCAUCUUCAUAUGAAAUGAUGUGUUAACUUCAAGUGUGGUGAGACGUGUUUUAUAUUUUAGUGAAGCUUGUGACUAAUAGCUAAUUUAACGUUUGCUAACGUUAGUUGGUUGAAGGGAGGAGAAAUAAGCCAGGAAGUGUAACAUCAGUCAAUAAAUAUGUAUGAACCUGUUCAAACCGGCCGAGCAUAUUUAAUUCCAGGCCAAAAUAAUAAAUAUACUUUUUUUCUUUCAGUAAAUUUCUUGAAGAAUAUUUAACUUAAUUAUGCCACAUUAUUUUGCCAUCAGAAAUUCGACGAUCCACCAUGACAGGACAUAAACGAGAGUUUCCGGUACUUCUGCCUCGAGGGCUAGCUUUACUAACGGUAGUUUCGCGGUACUGCUGUCUCGCGCGCUAACAUUACUAACGGUAGUUUCGCGGUACUGCUGUGUCGAGGGCUAACGGUAGUUUCGCGGUACUGCUGUGUCGAGGGCUAACAUUACUAACGGUAGUUUCGCGGAACUGCGGUCUCGCUGUCUUGCAUUUCACCGGCGUAUGGUUUAAUUGGCUGACUUUUAUCGCAGGCAUAUGCUAAACUGCGACAGGGACUAAAGAGGAAAAAGCGAGUGCCUAAUUGAUACCAAAACGGUAAUUAUAGACUUCCAACAUCUCAGAGACUAAGGUUCUAACGUUAACUUAGCGAUACCCUGUUAACUUUAGCCACUUGUUGGACUUAAUACAUGUUUAAUAACUCCUUGCCUAGAGAAAGUUGAACAGCUAUCUUUUUCCACUCUGUACAGUUUCUGCAAGAUAUCACCAUGCUGCUGAAGGUGAGAUACCAGAGUACCAAGAAGUACAUCCGAUUACAGCUAGGUUUCACCUAUUUGGAAUUCAUCACUGCAGGUGAGUAACAUAUUAUGUAAAAAAACAAAUUAUUGCUGGUUUAACAACAAAUACACAAUGUUUAAGUGGCAUUGUUCAUAGGAUAAGACAAAGGGGGAUUUUGAGCUCUGAGGUCAUGGACAGGUCUACAAAAAAGGUUUCGGAUUCAGAGACUGCAAAAGAGGUACUUGAAAGCAGUAGAUGUCAGUUAACAUUUUUACUCACAAUAUCAUCAAGAAAAUUGUUUAACUGAAUGAUGAUUCUCACCAAUUGGACUAUAAUUAAAUUUAGAAUGGUGAGUGCCAGAUUGAGAAAGUUACGAAACUUAGUUUAGUGUAAAUUAAUAAUUAACCCAGGGUUUAGCUGUUGUGUAGCUUUGUAUUAUGUAACUCUUCUUUCCAUACAUAUUUAUUCAAUUAGGUUAAUUUACAUACAUGGAACGGUGCCUUGUCUUUUGUAGUGUAGACUAUAUUGCUUGUUUUGGCUUCAGCAUGCCCCACAUAUCCUGAAAAGAUGUUUCUACGUUACCUGACCAAUUUGUUUGUUUGAUUAAGACUGAAAAUUAUUUGGGAGUUUUUCCUGGUCCGAUGCGAGGUUUUGGGUCAGGGAUGUCUAUGUGUACAGAUUGUAAAGCACUUCGAGACUAAUUUGUAAUUUGUGAAAUUGGGCUAUACAAAUAAACUGAAUUGAAUUAUACACUAAAUUUUUUAAAAUCUUAUGUGAGUAGAUGGUAGAAAAUGCCUUGCUCACCAAACCUGGAGGUGAAGAUGUCCUUGAAGAGUACAAGUCAGGAAAUUCGCUGAAGCACCGCACCCGUAGACAGCUUGUCAACAUAUUGGCUAGCCAUAUGACUGAAAUGCAUGGCUGAAUCAAGACUUCACGCUGCUGUUUGGUGCUGAGACGGCUUCCAAGAUGCUCGAGAAGUGGGAUACAGCAUUCAAGCCCACGGUCAUCAAAGAGGCCAAACACCUGACUCCGACAACUGAGCUGUGCCAACUUCUGACAGCUGCAGAGAACCUUCCAGAAGAUGAUCAUACCAACUGGGACAGUGACAUGGCUUCUCUGCUGCUGCUUCUCCAUCUCUUGCCACCCACAGCUGGACGGAAGAGGAUCAAAAUAAGUCCCAGUGAUGCAGUGGGAAAAAUGUUGCAUUGUCACAAGUCAUGCUGCAGCAUCAGUGAACACCUGCUGGGAAGAGAGGCUAAACAACCGGACCUCCUUGCUGUUGGCCGAAACAAAAACAGAAUCGAUGCCUUCUACAUCGUUGUGGAUAAACGGCUCAUCCCCUGCCAAGCUACGAGCUCGUUGGGUGCUUUUGAUGAACUAUUUAAAUCCCACUACGUGUUCAACCUGUCUUACGAUGAAACUUUGGUCCCACUCUUCACCUUUGUGCAGACAACAGUCCACAACAUCGAUAUUACAACAACAGAUCAGUCUCCAAGAGUACGUGAGUUCUGGGCGAAGGUCUUGCACGUGGUUUAAAAAUGAAGUGUUUCAUUUGUGGUGUUGUACAUGCGGCCUGCCAGGAGUUGAUUUUUGUAAAUGUGCAUGAUGGUGCUUUGAAGAUAUUUUCUGAAUAAAAUAAAAAGAAUUG